UACGUAGGGGGCAAGCGUUGUCCGGGAAUCAUUGGGCGUAAAGAGCGUGUAGGUCGGCCCGAUAAGUCCGCUGUGAAAGUCCAGGGCUCAACCCUGGGAGUGCCCGGUGGAUACUGGUCGGGCUCGAGUCCGGAAGAGGAGUGUGGAAUUCCUGGUGUAGCGGUGAAAUGCGCAGAUAUCAGGAGGAACAAGCCCAAUGGCGAAGGCAGCACUCUGGGACGUGACUGACGCGAGACGGCGAAAGCGUGGGGAGCAAACAGG
rnacentral:rRNA from 1 species